rnacentral:piRNA from 1 species
UUCAGCUUUGGGUGCUGACGGUGGGGGU